rnacentral:rRNA from 1 species
GACGAACGCUGGCGGCGUGCUUAACACAUGCAAGUCGAACGGAAAGGCCCUGCUUUUGUGGGGUGCUCGAGUGGCGAACGGGUGAGUAACACGUGAGUAACCUGCCCUUGACUUUGGGAUAACUUCAGGAAACUGGGGCUAAUACCGGAUAGGAGCUCCUGCUGCAUGGUGGGGGUUGGAAAGUUUCGGCGGUUGGGGAUGGACUCGCGGCUUAUCAGCUUGUUGGUGGGGUAGUGGCUUACCAAGGCUUUGACGGGUAGCCGGCAUGAGAGGGUGACCGGCCACAUUGGGCCUGAGAUACGGCCCAGACUCCUACGGGAGGCAGCAGUGGGGAAUAUUGCACAAUGGGCGGAAGCCUGAUGCAGCAACGCCGCGUGCGGGAUGACGGCCUUCGGGUUGUAAACAGCUUUCGCCUGUGACGAAGAGUGAGUGACGGUAAUGGGUAAAGAAGCACCGGCUAACUACGUG